rnacentral:rRNA from 1 species
AUUAAGCAUAUCAAUAAGCGGAGGAAAAGAAACCAACAGGGAUUGCCUUAGUAACGGCGAGUGAAGCGGCAAAAGCUCAAAUUUGAAAUCUGGCGCCUUCGGCGUCCGAGUUGUAAUUUGAAGAAGGCUACUUUGGGGCUGGAGUUUGUCUAAGUUCCUUGGAACAGGACGUCACAGAGGGUGAGAAUCCCGUGAGAUAAGCUUCCCAGUUCUAUGUAAAGUGCUUUCGAAGAGUCGAGUUGUUUGGGAAUGCAGCUCUAAGUGGGUGGUAAAUUCCAUCUAAAGCUAAAUAUUGGCGAGAGACCGAUAGCGAACAAGUACAGUGAUGGAAAGAUGAAAAGAACUUUGAAAAGAGAGUGAAAAAGUACGUGAAAUUGUUGAAAGGGAAGGGCUUGAGAUCAGACAUGGUAUUUUGUAAACCUUCUCUCUCGUGGAGGGGGCCCCUUGCAGUUUACUGGGCCAGCAUCAGUUUGGGCGGUAGGAUAAUGACUAAGGAAUGUGACUUGCCUUCGGGGAAGUGUUAUAGCCUUGGUUGAUACUGCCAGCCUAGACUGAGGACCGCGUCUUUGACAAGGAUGUUGGCAUAAUGAUCUUAAGCCACCCGUCUUG